rnacentral:snoRNA from 1 species
AAGAAAAUGAUGAAAUUACUCGGAUUCCCCUUCAAGACAUUAUGUAUGAUGUAGAACUCGAGUUUCUGAUGCA